rnacentral:misc_RNA from 1 species
UGGUUCUCGCAACGAUGAAGAACGCAGCGAAAUGCGAUAAGUAAUGUGAAUUGCAGAUUUUCGUGAAUCAUUAAAUCUUUGAACGCACCUUGCGCCCUCUGGUAUCCCGGGGGGCAUAUCUGUUUGAGAAUCAGUUUAACCCUCACAACCUUAUGUGAAAACAUUUGGGGGUGGAUUUGAGACAUCUUUAGCUUGCUAAAGUGUCUUUAAACUGAUGACCGCCUUGAGAAGGAAACAUACAUGUUUAAAGGCAAGAUUGCUGAGCAGCAAUGCUCUUUACCUUUGCUUAGUUGGCAAGUAUGGGAAGCUCUCUAUGGUAGGGACAACCAAAUACGAAAGCGAAAGCUUUUAAGACUUGGUCUCAAAUCAGAUAAGACUACCCGCUGA